rnacentral:misc_RNA from 1 species
AAGAUUUAUGGUAGAAUUGAAGAAGAUUUGGAAGCAGAUGAUGUCAUAGUUGUUCACUUGAUGAACAAUUACAACACAUACAGUUUUGGAGGGAAAAAGAAGCUUGUUAUUUCCACAUCAAGCUGGUUGGGAGGAAGGAAUGACUUCCUUGGUGUUGCCUACAUCUUUGUUGGUUCUUCUGCCGUGAUACUCUCACUUGUUUUCUUAUUGCUUCAUGUGAAAAACCCGAG